rfam:Odoribacter sp. CAG:788 genomic scaffold, scf104
AUAUUUCUUCGGGGCAGGGUGUGAUUCCCUACCGGCGGUGAUAGUCCGCGACUCCCUUUUGAGGGACUGAAUCGGUGAAAUUCCGGUACCGACGGUAAAGUCCGGAUGAUAGAAGGAAUAG